GAAAUCAUAUAUUGGAUAAAAUUGUUGGAUUACAGUAGUGGAUAUUACAAGAGGAAGAGCAUCCAAAUGUGAUGCAUAUCUAAAUAUUUUCUCGACCAAGAAACUUAAACUAAAAGCAUUCAUCAACAUCCCUCAUACUUAACUAAAACAUAACUGAGGAACAUCAUUGAAUAGGAACAACAUCCCUACAACUUAACUAAAAUUGAAAGCAUCCAUCAUCAUCAUCAUGAACUGGAAGAUCAUCAUCGUCAUCACAUUGUAGUGUACUUGCCAUGCACCCAUAUAAUCAUCCAUGUAUCUUUUGAACCUACAAAGAAAAUAACAAAAUGAACCGUUAGCACACAGUGCAUUAAGAAGUAAGAACCGCUUUGCGCACACUUACUGCUCAUCAGAAAAAAAAAAUUGGUAUGGACAACAGUCUAAUAGCAAAUAAGAAGAAACAAAUAAACAAGAUAGCACUACAAUUUGAACACAAAUUCGUAUGUGAUUAUGAGAAGAUACCAGCAUUAGUGUUAGUUGUCCUUGAAGACUAAUCCAGACGCCACAGUAUA
rnacentral:lncRNA from 1 species